AAAAAGAAAGAAAAAAGAGAAAAGGAAAAAAAAAAAAAAAACAGACUUUUCGAAAUAAGACCUAAAUAACGGGGGUGGGGCUUGUGUGUUUGUUGUUGUU
rnacentral:ribozyme from 12 species